CCUACGGGUGGCAGCAGUGGGGAAUAUUGCGCAAUGGCCGAAAGCCUGACGCAGCGACGCCGCGUGAGGGAUGAAGGUCUUCGGAUCGUUAACCUCUGUCAGCCGGGGAGAACGGUCACUGUGCUAAUCAGCAGUGAAUUUACGUUACCUGCAAGGGACGCACCGGCUAACUCCGUGCCCGCCGCCGCGGUAAUGCGGAGGGUGCGUGCGUUAAUCGGAAUUACUGGGCGUAAAGCGCUCGUAGGCGGGAUGUCAAGUCAAGGGGGAAAUCCGCGCGCUCAACGUGGGAACUGCAUUUGAAGCUGGCAAACUGGAGUGGGUGAGAGGAUAGUGGAAUGCGAGGUGUAGGAGUGAAAUCCGUAGAUAUCUCGAGGAACAUCAGUGGCGAAGGCGACUAGCCGGCACACAACUGACGCUGAGGAGCGAAAGCGUGGGUAGCAAACAGGAUUAGAUACCCGAGUAGUC
rnacentral:rRNA from 1 species